GGGCGGUGUUACUGAGGUCCCGGUUGCGAUCCCGGUCUCGCUCCCGCCGCCGCCCUUGCCGGCUGCGGUGGAGGCGCCUCGCCGUCUCAUUGCGCACACCGGGAGGCUCCCCCCGGUGCUGCCCAUCCCCUGGCUCGCCCUGCGGCCAGGCCGGGAGCUGCGCCCAGGGCUGUCCAUCAUCGUCACCCGCGGGGACGGGAUGGAGCUGACCCCCCGCCCAUCCUCUGUUUGUGGAGUUCUUCAGAACUAACUUAGGCCGUCACAGCAGGAAGUGGAACAUUGCUGUUUCUGUUUUACUAGUUGUUGUUUUGCAUGAUCCAAGCAUAUGUUUAUCCUAAAAUACUUCUCUUAAUGCCAUAUGCCACAAAGAUUGCAAGAACAUCAAGUUUAAGCAAUGGACAUGUGUUCGGCUGUAAACAUGGACAUAUUGACUAUCUGUGCUGAUGUAAAAACACAGCGAGAUAAAACUGAUUUCAAACCAUAAUAUUCAGUUUCUUAAGCCUGUUCCAAAAAACCCAGUUGAAGGUCAGAAGAUAGAAAGCAGCGUAAGCUUAUGAAUGCCAGCACACUUCAUAGAGUGCAAGCUUGGUUUUGCAUGGAAAGAUCAGCGCACUGUAUUCAGUACAAAUAUGACUUCUACUCUGUAAUAAAGAAAAAUUAUCUCUGGAUGAAAAGCUACCUUUGCAAAAAAUAUAUUAUAGCUUUUAACUGC